rnacentral:rRNA from 1 species
GACGAACGCUGGCGGCGUGGAUUAGGCAUGCAAGUCGGACGGUAGGGCUUUAUCGUAAGAUAGAGUUUGAGAGUGGCGAAUGGGUGAGUAACACGUAGGAAUCUACCCUUAAGACGGGGACAACCCAGGGAAACUUGGGCUAAUACCGGAUGAGAGUGCGAGAGAUUGCAUUUAAAAGGAUGGCGAAAGUUAUCGCUUAGGGAUGAGCCUGCGGUCUAUUAGUUAGUUGGUGGGGUAAGAGCUCACCAAGGCGAUGAUAGAUAGGCGGCCUUAACGGGUGGUCGCCCACACUGGGAUUGAGAUACGGCCCAGACUCCUACGGGAGGCAGCAGUCGAGAAUAGUCUACAAUGGCCGGAAGGCUGAUAGUGCGACGCCGCGUGAACGAGGGAGCCCUUCGGGUGUAAAGUUCUUUUCUAUACGAGCAGUGCUAUAUAUAUGGAUAGUAUAUAUAGAGGGAUAGUAGUAUAGGAAUAAGCAACGGCUAACUCCGUGCCAGCAGCCGAC